UACAGAGGUCUCAAGCGUUGUUCGGAUUCAUUGGGCGUAAAGGGUGCGUAGGUGGCGCUGUAAGUCGGGUGUGAAAUUUCGGAGCUUAACUCCGAAACUGCAUUCGAUACUGCGGUGCUUGAGGACUGGAGAGGAGACUGGAAUUCAUGGUGUAGCAGUGAAAUGCGUAGAGAUCAUGAGGAAGACCAGUGGCGAAGGCGGCUAUCUGGACGGUUUCUGACGCUAAGACGCGAAAGCGUGGGGAGCGAACAGG
rnacentral:rRNA from 1 species